rnacentral:rRNA from 1 species
CCCGCACAAGCGGUGGAGCAUGUGGUUUUAAUUCGAUGAUACGCGAGGAACCUUACCUGGGCUCAAAUGUAUGUUGACGUAUUCUGAAAGGGAUACUUCUUCGGACAAUAUACAAGGUGCUGCAUGGUUGUCGUCAGCUCGUGCCGUGAGGUGUCGGGUUAAGUCCCGUAACGAGCGCAACCCUUGUCCUUAGUUACCAGCACGUUAUGGUGGGCACUCUAAGGAGACUGCCGGUGACAAACCGGAGGAAGGUGGGGAUGACGUCAAGUCAUCAUGGCCCUUACGGCCUGGGCUACACACGUGCUACAAUGGUCGGUACAAAGGGUUGCCAAGCCGCGAGGUGGAGCUAAUCCCAUAAAACCGAUCGUAGUCCGGAUCGCAGUCUGCAACUCGACUGCGUGAAGUCGGAAUCGCUAGUAAUCGUGAAUCAGAAUGUCACGGUGAAUACGUUCCCGGGCCUU